AAAGUAAGCUUUUGGGUUCAUACCCCAAAUAUAAAGGAAACCCCUUUUUUUUAAA
rnacentral:tRNA from 1 species